rnacentral:rRNA from 1 species
AACGAACGCUGGCGGCAGGCCUAACACAUGCAAGUCGAGCGAUUCUCUUCGGAGAAGAGCGGCGGACGGGUGAGUAACGCGUGGGUAACCUGCCCUGUACACACGGAUAACAUACCGAAAGGUAUGCUAAUACGAGAUAAUAUGCUUUUAUCGCAUGGUAGAAGUAUCAAAGCUUUUGCGGUACAGGAUGGACCCGCGUCUGAUUAGCUAGUUGGUAAGGUAACGGCUUACCAAGGCGACGAUCAGUAGCCGACCUGAGAGGGUGAUCGGCCACAUUGGAACUGAGACACGGUCCAAACUCCUACGGGAGGCAGCAGCGGGGAAUAUUGCACAAUGGGCGAAAGCCUGAUGCAGCAACGCCGCGUGAGCGAUGAAGGCCUUCGGGUCGUAAAGCUCUGUCCUCAAGGAAGAUAAUGACGGUACUUGAGGAGGAAGCCCCGGCUAACUACGUGCCAGCCGCCGCCGUAAUAC